GUUUGAAAGAGGCGAUGAUGAUCUUUGUCAAUUUUAUUCCCUUCUAAGCUGAUUAAUUGAGCAUUUAAGGUUAUCCAACCCGUAUCUUGGUGGGGCAUGCUGGUUUAUGCAGCCAUGGCGUGGUUGACUCUCUUUUUGCUCGAUCUUAACACAGAUCUGAGCCUCAAUUUAGCGGUCUCUUUGUUAAUUUUAACUGAGGGAGUAUUGUUAACAGCUUCAGGGUACUAUAAACAAAAGCUUAGAAGGAAAAGAAUGAGG
rnacentral:lncRNA from 1 species